rnacentral:sRNA from 1 species
CUGUCAGACUUCUAGCACUGAAGUCCUGUGUUUAAGCACAGAACAAAUAGGGCAGUGGCAGUGAUAAGCUUGGCCCAUGUACCUCAGUCUGGAGAGACCACCUCCACAGGUGAGAGAGCAGUUCUCUAUCCUUGUCCAACAAUCCCUGAAGUAU